ACACUCGAAUCCAUAAUCCUCUCAUCUCUGUCUCUGUCUCUCUGCUAUUUACACAAGGAGCAAAACAUCUACUCCUCUGCUUUAAAAUAAAAGAAAAGCUACCAAAUUCUAUGAUAUUCCUACUGACUUUCGCUACAAUAAUUGAAAAGUCGCAUUAUUAUGACUAUUAUUCUGAGACAGGUGGCAUUAUUAUUGUUAGAAAGAGGAGAAUAUGCACGUCAUAAUGUACUUUGUAUUGCAUAUCUAUGUCGCGGUCUAGUGGGGGUCGGUGGAACUUAAUGAAUAUCAUCUUAAUCUCAUAUUUUAAAAAGAGUUUGAAUUUUAUAGAGUAUUUUUAUAAUUUAAUUUUUUA
rnacentral:misc_RNA from 1 species